GAAUAUUGGACAAUGGGGGGAACCCUGAUCCAGCCAUGCCGCGUGUGUGAAGAAGGCCUUUUGGUUGUAAGGCACUUUAAGCGAGGAGGAGGCUACUCUCGUUAAUACCUAGAGAUAGUGGACGUUACUCGCCGAAUAAGCACCGGCUAACUCUGUGCCAGCAGCCGCGGUAAUACAGAGGGUGCAAGCGUUAAUCGGAGUUACUGGGCGUAAAGCGCGCGUAGGUGGCCAAUUAAGUCAAAUGUGAAAUCCCCGAGCUUAUCUUGGGAAAUGCAUUCGAUACUGGUUGGCUAGAGUAUGGGAGAGGGUGGUAGAAUUCCAGGUGUAGCGGUGAAAUGCGUAGAGAUCUGGAGGAAUACCGAUGGCGAAGGCAGCCAUCAGGUCUAAUACUGACACUGAGGUGCGAAAGCAUGGGGAGCAAACA
rnacentral:rRNA from 1 species